UAAUAGUUGAGCUUAUGACUUGGUAUUUCAAAAAUCUCUUUCAGCACUAAAAGAAAUUGAAAGAAAGGGAGUGACUGAAUCGGAUAAUCAAUUCGAAACCAGCAAAGAUAAGAAAAGAUUCACAAAAAGGUACAAGUGGAAUCUUUAAGUUUUGUGAAAAACUUUAGUAUUGUAAAUUGUCAUGCCAAAAUUUGAAUAUAUCGAGUUUAUGAAUGUGUAGUUCAUAAACUCUGCCAACUCUAGAAGAUAUCACACUUGCUCGUAGAUACUAUUUCGCAAAAGAGAGUGACUGAAUCGGAAAAUUAAUUCGACGCCAGCAAACAAAAGAAGAGAAUUUCACAAAAGUUAUUGUAGAAGCUUAAACAUGGAGGAGGCUGAGAUCUUAGGGAUGAUACAAACUCUUAAGUGUUUCCAUGCUACCAGUAAAGAUAUCAGCUGCAGUUUUAUGCUAAAUGACAAAAUUCAUGAGCUGGAAAAGAUGCUGGAUUUCUUGAGAGACUUGAAAAUGGAAGAGCGGAGCAGGCUACGAUAUUUCAUUUCUGACUUGGUCGAGUUGGCUAAAGAUGUAAUGGAAGUGGGCAUUAAUGGUUACUAUCAAGGUGGAAAUUAUCAGAACCUCCUAAAUAGGAUCAAGAUGACAAAGAUGCGCAUGACAAACUUUGGAGGUGAUGAGAAAAAAAUUGGAGACGAAGAAGCAAAAGAUGAAGAGGAAGUUGUUGUGGGGUUGGAGGAAAAUGUUAAGCACUUGCUUGGAAAAGUGAUUUUAAAAAAAUUUAAGAACUUACAGAUUUUGUCUAUAAAGGGAAUGAUUGG